AGAGCGCCCCCAGCAGGAAGGCGGUGCGGUGCGGCCGCAGGCAGGGAGGGGUGCCGGGCCCGCCGGGUCCCCUGCGCGCUCCCCUCCGCGCUCACCUCCACCCUCCGUCCGCGCAUCGCGCACCUGCGGGCGCUGCGCUGCGCGGGCGCUGCGGGGCGCCGUGACCUUGGGAGGUGCCGGCGGCUGGGCCGAGCAGCGCGCUGGGAGCCGGGGCGGGCGGCGGGUGCGAGAGUGCGGUGUGAGAGAGGGAGCGGGUGUGCGUCCGUGUGUCCCUCGGUCUGUGUCUGUGUGUGCGUACGUGCGGGUGCGCGGCGCGGCAGGGCGGUCGGGUGCUGCUCCCUGCCGGGAGCGGAGGGAAAAGAGGGAAGAGGGCAGCCCGGCAGGGCAGUUCGGCCGUGCUGGAGGGUCCUGCAGCCAGGGUUUGUCAUAGGUGCCCGGUUUUGGAGGCGGAGAUCGGCGGAGUUGGGGAGGGGUGCUGUGGCGGGGCUUCGGGAGAUCGGGGACGUCACCGCUUAUUGCUCCGUAGUGCGUUUUUUCUGAUCGCCUCCUGAGAAGCGGCAGGUCGAGCUGCGUUUACGUGUAAUUCUUAUCAUAGAGGUAUUACACACUUAACUGUGAGUGCGGCUCAGCUACCGCUCUCGAGGCUGGAUUAGCGAGAACAAAACUGUACAAUACAUAUUUUAGAUGUUUUCCUAUUGCGCAACGCUCCGGUGUUCUGUGGCAGGACAGGAGGGAUCGGACCUUGGCAGCCCUUCCAGCGGCGGCUCCGUUCCGUGUAGUGCCGCCUCCCUCGGCCCGGCGCUGCGGUGGGGCGGGCUGGCCCCGAGAGGCAGCUCCUGCCCAAGUGCGCUUGCAGAUGGUCCUGUUCGAAGUCUUCUCUGUGUCUGUCUUUUUCUGCUCGGAGCAGUUUUCGGUGCUUUGUAUCAAUCACUUUCCAGUCUGCCAGGCAUGCUAUCCAGUAUAUCAACAGUCAGUAAAUGCAGGGAUACACAAAUCCAUAAAGGUAGAAUCCUUGAAGAAAAAAGGAAAAAACAUUCCUUUAUGUUGCAAGAAGGAAUAAGAUUUUGGUACCUUUCAGAAGGUUUCCUUCCAUUCAAUUUUACUAUUGGAAAAAUCCAUUCAGCCUGAUUCUUCUGUACUCUCACAAGUCAAGUUUCCACUGACGUCAACCAGGAGUACCAUAUAAAGGACAAGUAACAGGAUUAAACACGACACAAUGUUUGGCAUGGUAGGCUUCCUAAAAGAUCUUAGGGCUCUUACCAGGGAAAUUAAGUCACCAGCAUCACCAAGGGACUGGGAUUUUUAAUUACUUGAAUCUUCAUUUUCUUAUCAUAAAUAAAAUAAAUGUGGUGCAUGCUAAGCACACAGAUAUAGCAUCCACAAGUAGAAAGUCCAGUGCUCUUAAAAUUAAAUACCUAUUUUUCUUGAUCAUUCAGCAGUACUUGCAGUUUGAGCCCAUGCCAAGGGACUAAUGAGAGCCUGGCAUUGACUUGGGCUUGUUGAUUCCAGCCUUUUUCUUUUCUGUCUCCCACCCGCAUCAGACUCCUAAUCUGUGACUGUGGCUUUAUGGCAGAAUGCAGUGCCUCAGGCAGAGCCAUAAGCUAGCCCCGAGAGGAAGGUGGGUACUAGAAAUGGUACAAUUCAUAACACUGCACAUGGCUGAAGCUGCAAGGCAUGUUAGGAACAGCAAAAGGACACAAUACACAUCAGCUCAGUGCCUGCAGCAGUUCAGGCUUCUCACAGAAAUCCAGACUGUGCUCCAUGAGGCUGCUCCUCCCUGCCACGGUUGUGAUGAGGUCGGUGGAAUGACGCACACCAGUGAGGCCUGCUUGCAUGUACAGAAUGUGUAGGAGCAGCUCCUAAAGCACAUGUUCACAAAUCCUGUGGCAACAGAGGCAUUGUAAAUACAUCUCAAGCAAUACAAAUUCAGGGAACAGUUAAGAUAAUUACUGUAGCCAUUUGAUUACUCAUGAUUGACAUUAACAUUCUGGGUAGAAAAGAUGCCAGUGCAAUCUUGUCUCCCUUUUCUGUCACUACCAGCACCACAUACUGUGAAGGUUUUUAGGAACUAAUAAAACCAGAUGCUGUUCUUCAUCUCUCCUCAAUUUCUUCGAGUCAGAUCACAUUCAAAUGUAGUAAACAAAUUGGUGUUUCUAGAUUUGAUGGUACUUUUGAAUCAUAUUAAAUACAAACAGAAGCAGCAUCAAUAGCUACAGUAAGUGCAAACUCUUCACUCACUAAGAUACCUCCAUGCUAUUUAUGGUACUCAUUCACAGGCAAAGGACAGUACAAAGCCUGUACAUCACUUAGGCCCCAGCUGAAUUCUGUUUUGAAGUUUCACAUGUCACAGAACAGUUGUUGACUCUGUGCACAGGAAGGGCACAUCCUGUUUGUGUAUGCUUUAUGAAAUUUCCUGAAAUAUAUUUUUAUUGUGAUUAUUAUUACUUGUGAAGCACAGAAAAUGUCAGUACAGAUGGAAAAUGGCACAGAUGCUUCCAUAUCAAAGUCUUUUUUUCCUUGGUAAAUUACCAACUUCUAGUAAUACUCUGGCUGCAGGAGUGAUGACAUGCCACACAGGCUGUAACCUGCUAGACAUUUUCAGCAGAAAUGCAUUCAAUGAUUAUGCUGUAAAUCUACCUUUUAAUUUUCAUGGUAGAUUUCCAACUCUGAAAAUCUAGUUGCAUUUUUUUUUAACAUUAACAGUCUUCUUACUGUUCAGUGCUGAGCAAGAUGCCGAAGAACCUCGUAGUGUUCUGGUUCAUUCUAACAAUUCUGUGAAAGUUAAAUGCAAUUAUGAAAAUAAAAGUAAUUUUUGGUCUUCAGUCAGGUUAGAGUUCUUUCUUGUAUUACAAAAAGGAUGGUUUACUACUAAUUUCUAAUGAGACACUAAUGCAAGUACUAGCAAGGCAAGCUUCAUGGCAUGUCAGUGCAGUGAAAAAAGCCUGACUGUCUCUCUUGCUGAGUUCUAACUAUUGCUGAUUCAAGCCACUUCAAUGCAUUUUGAAAUAUACAUAUACACUUUGAAAUAUACUACAAUUAAGUAAUCUCUGCUGUAGAAAUGAACAAGCUUGACUACAUGAAUAAACUUUAGUUUCCAGACAAAA